rnacentral:rRNA from 1 species
CAGUAGCCGCGGGAAUACGUAGGGUGCGAGCGUUAAUCGGAAUUACUAGGCGUAAAGCGUGCGCAGGCGGUUUUGUAAGACAGGCGUGAAAUCCCCGGGCUCAACCUGGGAAUGGCGCUUGUGACUGCAAAGCUAGAGUGCAGCAGAGGGGGAUGGAAUUCCGCGUGUAGCAGUGAAAUGCGUAGAUAUGCGGAGGAACACCGAUGGCGAAGGCAAUCCCCUGGGCCUGCGCUGACGCUCAUGCACGAAAGCGUGGGGAGCAAACAGGAUUAGAUACCCCCGUAGUCCCUGUCUCUUAUAC